CUCAGGGAUUGUGGAACUGUUCUGUGAAAGCUAGACUCGGGAGGCCAGGACGUCUUUCCCACGCCAAAACAGGCCCAGCUCCAGCUCAGCCCUGCCCCGGAAGGACAGGAGUUUAAAAGGCAGUAGCUCCUCACCUGGGGCCACACCCGGGGAAGGCUGACUUCACCAGUGAACCCGUCUGACUACCCGGCUCCCAGACAGACCAGCAGGGCUGCAGCGUGGCGCCUCUCCCUGUGGGGCCCCACCCGGACCCCACCCAGCCAGGCCUCCAGAACAACGGUAGGAGCCGGUGGGAAGAGGCCAGCUCCCCUUCUAGUAAGGCCAGCUCGGCCUAGGUCCCUCAGGGCCCACCCCAGCCUGGGCUGGGUCUGAAGCAGCUGCUUCCUGCUUUGUCUUUUUCUUUCACUUUGGUUUUUAACCCCAAAGUGAAACUAAAGAACGGCCGAUGUGGGAAAGACAGUGACAGGACUGGCUCCCAGAGCUGUGCACACACACGCACAUGGACACGCGGGGAAGAGCACCUGCUGCAGUACUGCCCACAGCAGCAAGACUGGGAACACCCUGGACACCCCUGCGUAGAGGACUGGACACACAACCAGGGGUCCAUUGAUGACGGACUGCCACAUGGUCAUGGAAAAGCAGGCAGUGGACCUGUGUGUGUCCACAGGGAAGAGCCUACAACAAACAGACUUGUGUGAAGACGACAAGGCACAGAACAGCAGAUGGGGAAACUGAGGCUUGGAGAGGCCAAGGGUCUCACUCAAGGUCACAGAGCUUGAAGCUGGCAGAACCAAGGCCCCAGAGGUCUUAGACAGCCAAACUCAAUACGCAAGGAUGGUCAGGUUAAGAACAACUUCUCUCUCCCCUCAUCCUGACUGAGAGUCUCAGCAAGACCAAGGCAGCACAGGCCCUGGUUCACCUGCCCGGUCUGGUGGCCUGCAAAGUUCUGGCCACACACCCGACGGCCCAGCUGCCUAGGAGCCGCACCCCCCUGCAAAAUUUCAUUACUCAAGUUGGCAAGAACGCAGCCCCCACCCCCAGCCUGAUCUAAAUAAACGCCCAAGUGAUAUCACAUCCUGCCGGCUCCAAAAUAGCCCAGGCCUGCCCACAAGCAAUCACAAAGUGCCAGGCCAUGCAGGGCCAAGCCGGCAGAGAUGUCCAGCCCGCGGCACCCUCCACACACUCAAGCAACUAAAGCAGAAGCCUCAGAGCAGGAAGGCCCGCCCCCCCAACCUCUGCCAGGUGGCCUGGCCCCU